rnacentral:lncRNA from 1 species
AUGAGACUCUCUCCGCUACCACUGUGGAGACUAAGAAGGAUGAGGAGUCUGUAGAGACUCUGUCAUAUUGAGGAGUAGGAAAGAUACCCACUCAGAGCCAGUGCAGUCCCUGCCUGCCCUCAGCCAGACCUUAGGCCAGGCUGCUCAGACGGGUGCUUAGAUCAGUAAGUAAACAGCGGGGGACAUGCCAGCUUCCUCCAUUAAACCACCAAAUACUAGCCCAGUAGAUCACUGUCCUCAUUAAUCAGCACCAACUGUUCAUCUAGAGUUAGUCAGUGAAGGCCAAGGUAACUCACUAGAGAGCUGUCAUGAGGACAGUUGGCUUGGAAAUGCCUGGACUCUGAGCCACGUGGGAGCCACACAGACCACAGGUCAGACCCCCAAGAGUUCAUCUUGGGCAGCUAUUGUGUGAAGAUGCUGAGGGAGAAGGGACACAGAUUGGAGCCCCUGACCUUUCAAGGAACUUCCUUUCAGGAAACCUCUGGGUGGAGGCUGAGUCAAGCAUAUGCCUUCUUUGGCACAAGCACCUCCUGUGUCUCUGCAGCAAGAGAGUUUGGGGAACGGAGAGAGGGAAGCGCUUGGUCUGGAGUCCAGGACAUGAUCCACAGGACUCAGUUGGGGGCCGGGUUCGGGGAUCUCCGUCCCCAGGGAACCAACUCCUUUCUUGUCCCAGAUGCGUCUGUCAUCAACAUCAUGACUCUGGGCAAGUUACUAAAAAUCUCUGAACUUCAGUGCCAUGAACUACGAAAUAGAGGGCGACUGCACCUGCCCCGUGUAUGCCGUGGGGGGCUGCUGGGGGAUCACAGGAGAGGAUGGCAGACAUUCUCCCUGAGAAUAAUUAGGAUCCAUGGAGGCAGAGGAUGUGACGUUCUUACUCACCAGAGCAUGCUGCACACUCCCCGUUGCACCUGAUGAACAGGACAGAGAUUCUCUGGAGACAGGACAAUGAGGACAACACUCCAUGCUGGGGACAGUGUGAGGUCUGAAUCUGCACAGUCUGCUCUGUGCCCAGCUCUGCCCUUCGCGCCAUGUGACCCAGGGCCGGAUCAACAAACUUCUCUAGGAGCGCCCAUGGCUCGUGUCUAAACUAUGAGUGACAUAUUGAAAGCUACAUUUGAAACUAAGGAUAUACUAUAAGUUGGCUAACUGAAUUUAAAUAAAAAAUAAAAUGAAAAAA